UACGUAGGGUGCAAGCGUUAAUCGGAAUUACUGGGCGUAAAGCGUGCGUAGGCGGUUCGCUGUGUCCGAUGUGAAAGCCCCGGGCUCAACCUGGGAAUUGCAUUUGAGACUGCGUAGCUAGGGUGCGGAAGAGGGAAGCGGAAUUUCCGGUGUAGCGGUGAAAUGCGUAGAUAUCGGAAGGAACACCAGUGGCGAAAGCGGCUUCCUGGUCCAGCACCGACGUCAGGCACGAAAGCGUGGGGAGCAAACAGGG
rnacentral:rRNA from 1 species